AUCAUCCACCAUAUCAUACGUCUUCACCAGAAACGGCGGCGGCGCAUUCGCACUGGGUAUCGGCGCCGGCGCCGGCGCCGUCUGCAACAUUGGCGCUCCUACUCCGUCACCGACAGCAGCCUUCCCGCUGCCAUAAGAAUUCGGCUCCAUUCACGAUAAAACCUACCUCAAACCGGAACUAUUCGGGUCGAGGUCGAAUGAAAUCAAACUCCG
rnacentral:misc_RNA from 1 species